rnacentral:rRNA from 1 species
CCUACGGGAGGCAGCAGUAGGGAAUCUUUCACAAUGGGCGAAAGCCUGAUGGAGCAACGCCGCGUGCAGGAUGAAGGCCUUCGGGUUGUAAACUGCUUUUAUAAGCGAGAAAUAUGAUGGUAACUUAUGAAUAAGGAUCGGCUAACUACGUGCCAGCAGCCGCGGUCAUACGUAGGAUCCGAGCAUUAUCCGGAGUGACUGUGUGUAAAGAGUUGCGUAGGUGGCAUAAUAAGUAGCUAGUGAAAUCUGGUGGCUCAACCAUUCAGACUAUUAGCUAAACUGUUAAGCUCGAGAACGUUAGGGGUAACUGGAAUUUCUAGUGUAGGAGUGAAAUCCGUAGAUAUUAGAAGGAACACCAAUAGCGUAGGCAGGUUACUGGGACGGUUCUGACACUAAGGCACGAAAGCGUAGGGAGCAAACGGGAUUAGAUACCCCGGUAGUC